rfam:Nippostrongylus brasiliensis genome assembly, scaffold: NBR_scaffold0003869
GGGGCAAAGAUCAGUGGUAGAGCGCUUCCUUAGCACGGGAGAAGGCUGGGGUUCAAUUCCCCAUAACUCCA